GAUGAAGAACGUAGCGAAAUGCGAUACUUGGUGUGAAUUGCAGAAUCCCGUGAACCAUCGAGUCUUUGAACGCAAGUUGCGCCCGAAGCCAUUAGGCCGAGGGCACGCCUGCCUGGGCGUCACACGUCGUUGCCCCCCCAUCUACUCCUUCGGGAUUGCGGGGGGCGGAUGAUGGCCUCCCGUGCGCCUCGCCGCGCGGUUGGCAUAAAUGCCAAGUCCUCGGCGACGCACGCCACGACAAUCGGUGGUUGCGAAACCUCGGUUGCCCGUCGUGUGCGGUCGUCGCGCAUCGAGGGCUCGAAAAAAUUGCCGGGUUCCGGCUCGGCUUUCAACGCGACCCCAGGUCAGGCGGGGUUACCCGCUGAAUUUAAGCAUAUCAAUAAGCGAGGA
rnacentral:misc_RNA from 1 species